GUGUUUGCUUCGUCAGCACAUAUACUAAAAUUGGAAGGAUACAGAGAAGAUUAGCAUGGCCCCUUCACAAGGAUCAUAUGAAAAUUCAUGAAGCAUUCCAUAUUUUU
ensembl:snRNA U6 U6 spliceosomal RNA